rnacentral:misc_RNA from 1 species
UCGUAACAAGGUUUCCGUAGGUGAACCUGCGGAAGGAUCAUUACUGAGUGAGGGCCCUCUGGGUCCAACCUCCCACCCGUGUUUAUUGUACCUUGUUGCUUCGGCAGGCCCGCCUCACGGCCGCCGGGGGGCUUCUGCCCCCGGGCCCGCGCCUGCCGGAGACAAUCUUGAACGCUGUCUGAAGAAUGCAGUCUGAGCGAUUAAGCAAAAUUAGUUAAAACUUUCAACAACGGAUCUCUUGGUUCCGGCAUCGAUGAAGAACGCAGCGAAAUGCGAUAAUUAAUGUGAAUUGCAGAAUUCAGUGAAUCAUCGAGUCUUUGAACGCACAUUGCGCCCCCUGGUAUUCCGGGGGGCAUGCCUGUCCGAGCGUCAUUGCUGCCCUCAAGCCCGGCUUGUGUGUUGGGUCUUGUCCCCCCCGGGGGACAGGCCCGAAAGGCAGUGGCGGCACCGUCCGAUCCUCGAGCGUAUGGGGCUUUGUCACCCGCUCUGUAGGCCCGGCCGGCUGCUUGCCGACCCCCAUCAAUCUUUUUUUCAGGUUGACCUCGGAUCAGGUAGGGAUACCCGCUGAACCUAAGCAUAU